UAUCAUUUAGUCACUACCUUACCACUAUUUCGGUUCCGUAGUGUCUCCAGCAGGGGGGGCAAUAGAGCUGCAAAUGAAUCGUUGCCCAGCGAAAUGUUUCGUCCAAUCAGUUGAUGGGGUUUAAGAUGCGUAAAACCCCAGCGUCUCUAUGAAUGAAAUGCAGUGGUGAGGGGACACACAAACACAUACACACACAGUCACAGACACACACACAAACACAGAGGGGCUGUUGCACUGCAAAGUUUAGCAACGGAAAUGUAAGCUAUGCAUCUCCUGACCCUCGCCUCUGACAGACUUCUUUGCAAUAACACGGUUGUUGUGGGGGACUUCACUGUCCUACUCAUGUCUAGGUUAGCGGUCGCAGUCCUGUUUCUCUACGAUGCCUAGUUGCACUACCUGUAUCGAUGUGUUCCCUCGAUGGUUUCCAUCUGUGUUACUUGUUGGUCAUCAUUUGAGAAGGCACAGACCUAUGGUUCAAAAGAUGAGGGAAAGCCCUUGACUUAACAUCCAGCUGCAUAAACAUUCACCCAUCUCUCUCCCUCUGUUUCUUAAUGGGGGCUAUGGUGAACACAGAGGCAAUCAACAUGUUCCGCUCCAUCACACCCCCUUCCUCUAUCAGAUGUUUGUCUCUUCAGCUUUGCACCCAAACUUUACAAUAUCGAAGUUGUCUAACAUCUUUUAACACAGUAAAGCAAAACCAUUUUUCAAUGCAAUAAGGGAAAAAAUGGCUUUCGUUUAUCGUCUUGUUUUUCCACAUUUGAAAGUCAUUGUCAUGAUUGUAUAUUGGGUAGAGCGAGCGCCUCUCCUAUUCCACCUCCCUGUCAUGUAGGACCCAUCUCCCUGAUCACAGACAGCCCAGUGUGACUGUCCUCGGCUGAGCUUAGGACUUUGAGCAGGACUUGUCAAUAACAUCGUUCACUCCUACAGCUUUCGCCCUCUUCAGUUAGGUUACAAUGUGAUCAUUGUUAUUCCGACGGGGAUGAUUGACCUAAGACGUGAGGAAGAGUGCUAAUUAGCGUUCUCAGUCACGGUCUCGGUGCUCUAACGCGUGAUCUUACUCCCGUCACAAAGACAUAACGUUCAAAAGCUAGUUUAGACUAAACUGACCCCGCCGAACCCCCCUAACACUCGCUACUCUGCAGAGGUCUCUGUGUCGACGGCUGAGAACCACCGUGGGGUGGAGGCGGUGGGUGGGGG
ensembl:lncRNA